rnacentral:rRNA from 1 species
GAUGAACGCUGGCGGCGUGCUUAACACAUGCAAGUCGAACGGAAAGGCCCAAGCUUGCUUGGGUACUCGAGUGGCGAACGGGUGAGUAACACGUGGGCGAUCUGCUCUGCACUUCGGGAUAAGCCUGGGAAACUGGGUCUAAUACCGGAUAGGACCACUCCUUGGGUGUUGAGGUGGAAAGCUUUUUCGGUGUGGGAUGAGCUGGCGGCCUAUCAGCUUGUUGGUGGGGUAAUGGCCUACCAAGGCGUCGGCGGGUAGCCGGCCUGAGAGGGUGUACGGCGACCUUGGGACUGAGGUACGGCACAGACGCCUACGGGUGGCAGCAGUGGGGAAUAUUGCACAAGGGGCGCAAGCCUGGUGCAGAGACGCCGCGUGUGGGAUGACGGCCUUCUGGUUGUAGACUCCUUUCGCUAGGGACGAAGCGUUUUGUGACGGUACCUGGAGAAGAAGCACCGGCUAACUACGUG